AGCGAACGCUGGCGGCAGGCCUAACACAUGCAAGUCGAACGGAUCCUUCGGGAUUAGUGGCGGACGGGUGAGUAACACGUGGGAACGUGCCCUUUGGUUCGGAACAACUCAGGGAAACUUGAGCUAAUACCGGAUGUGCCCUUCGGGGGAAAGAUUUAUCGCCAUUGGAGCGGCCCGCGUCUGAUUAGCUAGUUGGUGAGGUAAAGGCUCACCAAGGCGACGAUCAGUAGCUGGUCUGAGAGGAUGAUCAGCCACAUUGGGACUGGGACACGGCCCAAACUCCUACGGGAGGCAGUAGUGGGGAAUCUUGCGAAAUGGGCGAAAGCCUGACGCAGCCAUGCCGCGUGAAUGAUGAAGGUCUUAGGAUUGUAAAAUUCUUUCACCGGGGACGAUAAUGACGGUACCCAGAGAAGAAGCCCCGGCUAACUUCGUGCCAGCCGCCGCGGUAA
rnacentral:rRNA from 1 species